AUUUUUUCGUAGUUCAUAAACGUGAUGAUUGGGCUUUCAUACUUGUUUUGAGGUGUGCCUUCCUCAAACCUUAUGGUGUCAGCACAUUACCUGUCUAAUG
ensembl:snoRNA